rnacentral:rRNA from 1 species
UACGUAGGGUGCGAGCGUUAAUCGGAAUUACUGGGCGUAAAGCGUGCGCAGGCGGUUUUGUAAGACAGGCGUGAAAUCCCCGGGCUCAACCUGGGAAUGGCGCUUGUGACUGCAAAGCUAGAGUGCGGCAGAGGGGAUGGAAUUCCGGCGUGUAGCAGUGAAAUGCGUAGAUAUGCGGAGGAACACCGAUGGCGAAGGCAAUCCCCUGGGCCUGCACUGGACGCUCAUGCACGAAAGCGUGGGGAGCAAACAGG